CUUGGCGACCAUAGCGUUUUGGACCCACCUGAUUCCAUCCCGAACUCAGAAGUGAAACGAAACAGCGUCGAUGGUAGU
rnacentral:rRNA from 1 species